AUGUCAGACUCUGGGUCAAACCCAGUUCUGUCAGUGUUCUCAGAGACAAGAGACAUUUGGGAAUCUUCUUUUGUCUGUGGAACUGCCCUGACCGUUCGGAGUAGUGAUGAUCGGAAACCAUCCGUAAUUCUGCUCCCACCUUCCCCAGAACAAAUAGACACGGGAUCGGCCACUCUGUCCUGUCUGGUGAGUCGCUUUAAGCCUGGCCUAGUGCAGGUCCUCUGGAGUGUGGAUGGGAAAGAGACAGACAGUGGGGUGACCACAAGCGCCGUGUCCCCAGAAAGUGAUCAAAGCUACAGCCUGAGCAGUUACCUGACAGUCACGGCCACUGACUGGAAGAAAGGUUCCAGAUAUUCCUGUAGUGUGAAGCACGGAUCACUGACCUCGCCUCUCCUCAACACCAUCAGCUCCAGCGACUGUUAGCUCUGAGGCAGAAAAUGCAAAUGUCAGUCACUGUGUACGAUGCGGCAUUAUGUUGUUUGCUUUUGUUUUGCCAUGUAAUUUCUGCAGUAAUGUCAGUAUUUGGUGAUCAAACUGAACAGUGAAGUAUGUGAGGAAAGGAGUGAAAUGGUUGUUCCAAUUGGGGAGCAGGAGUUUCCUGCUGCAAUUGAUCCCAUGGGUAGUCUAGGGACCAAUCUCCCCUUCUAGAUUAUGAACAAGUUGCAUUUGUGAAAUUUGUGUAAACACAGCUCUGAUUAAAUACGAAAU